rnacentral:lncRNA from 12 species
CGCACCUGGCUGGGCAGUAGACACGAGUGUCUAUGUCUGGGCUCUUCACUGAUUCCUUUCUCAGGCUGCUGCUGUCAGUCAAGACAUUUAUUCUGCUCCAGGAUCAGAAUCUUCCUUUUGAAACCAGGCUGUCCUAAAACAAGUCCCAGGACCCGAGGGGCAAACUUUUCCAGCCCAACUCUACAGGAUUUCAGGUGGAUUCGUGGCCUUAGGGCAUAAAGCAGAUAGAUUUCCUGGGUUACCUAUGACAAAAGCUGUUCUUGUCUGAAGAUAUCUACAGGAGAAAAUUAAAUCAUCUUUCUUGUAUCAGUUUUUCAUCCAUUCUGAAGAACCCUCUCCACAUUUCUGGCUUGAUGAGUUUGAGUAUGUUUGUAUCGGGAGCCAGUUGUUCACGUUGAACUUUAUCUUUCAGUUUGUCAAAAAAAAAAAAAAAAAAAUCUAGCACUAUCCAAGCACCAGGAUUAAUUUCCAAGAACACAGAGAUUGGAGGGAGGCUGUCAAGGCAUCUGGAACCUCAAGUUCCCAGCCCCCCACCCAGGACCCCUUAAGAAGCAGUGUAGGGCUCUCUAUGGUUACCCAUGAGAACCCUUCCCACACUUCAGAAGCUCCAUGGCUAUGGAAGACCAGUGUCACUUGGGACUCGGGUUCUCUGGUUCCCAGCAGAUGCAAGUGAAGAAUACAAUCAAUUGUCCUACUGUGACUUGAGAGAACCAAAACUUCCUGCAAUUAUUAUUACCAGUACUGUUUCUUUUUCAUUCUUCUCCCAAAGGUGUCCUUGUAUUAUAUCUUUUGAGCAAAUGAGCGAACACCUCUAGUCAAAGGGAAAUGAAUAGUACCAGGUGAAUCCCACCCUGUGGGGAGGUUUUAUUGACGUGCCACUGGACUCUGUUCUCCCUGUGCCAUGUUCAACAGUCUCCUCUGUACUGCUAAAUUUAUUGACUGCACAAAGCUAAGAAAAAGAAUAUACUGGAUGUCAAUGUCAGCAUUUAAUAUUAUUUUAACCAAAUAGAUUUAUCUAUUGUAAAAAAAAAUCAAUAAAAUGAAAUUUAGCAAGAAUGAAGGCUCUGCA